rnacentral:rRNA from 1 species
GACGGGGGGGGCAAGUGUUCUUCGGAAUUACUGGGCGUAAAGGGCGCGUAGGCGGCGCCGGAAGUCAGGCGUGAAAGCCCCGGGCUCAACCUGGGAGGUGCGCUUGGGACUCUGGUGCUGGAGUUCGGGAGAGGAGCGUGGAAUUCCCAGUGUAGAGGUGAAAUUCGUAGAUAUUGGGAAGAACACCGGUGGCGAAGGCGGCGCUCUGGACCGAGACUGACGCUGAGGCGCGAAAGCGUGGGGAGCAAACAGG